ensembl:lncRNA PPFIA2-AS1 PPFIA2 antisense RNA 1
CAGAGAAAGGAUUAUUUGAGGACACCAAGAGGUGACCAUCAGCAAGCCCAGGAGAGAGGCCUCAGAAGAAACCAGACCUGCUGAUUCCUUGAUCUUGAACUUCUAGCCUCCGGAACUAUCCAACUUGAAUGCUUCCUGAUUAAAUAUAUACAGGAGUGAUUUCAGAGGAAUUUAAGUUUUGGAUCAUUCUUUUGAGAAAGAAAGAAAAGUACCCUUUUAAAAGAGUUUCUUAUUUUAAAUAUACAGGUGGCUCUUGAACAACACAGGUUUGAACUGCAUCAUUCCACUUAUACACAGACUUUCUUCUGCCACUGCCACUCCUGAGACAACAUGACCAAUCUCUCCCCUUCCUCCUCCUCAGCGUACUUUCAACAUAAAGACGACGAGGAUAAAGGCAUUUAUGAUGAACUACUUCCACAUAAUGAAUAGUAAAUAUAAUUUCUCUUCCCUAUGAUUUUCUUAAUAAUAUUUUCUUUUCUCUAGCUUACUUUAUUGUACGAAUGGAGCAUAUAUGUGUACAUAUAAAACACAUAAUACAUGCUUAUCAACUAUUUGUGUUAUCAGUAAGGCUUCCAGUCAACAGUAGGCUCUUAGUAGUUAAGUCUUGGGAGAGCCAAAAAUUCUAGCUGAUUUUUUGACUGUGUGUGGGGGGUCAGCACCCUUAACUCCUAUCUUAUUCAAGGGGCUAUUGUAUUCUAAAUUGUCUUUUAGCUUGAGUCAUAAUCCAGGUAUAGUGAAAAACAUUUGUGUCUAUUUAAAAAUAAUAUAGGUAAGAAUUUUAAAAAUUAUAUAUUUUUCCUA